GGGCCCGCACAAGCGGAGGAACAUGUGGUUUAAUUCGAUGAUACGCGAGGAACCUUACCCGGGUUUGAACGCAUUUGGACCGACCAGGAAACUGGUUUUCUAGCAAUAGUCAUUUGCGAGGUGCUGCAUGGUUGUCGUCAGCUCGUGCCGUGAGGUGUCGGCUUAAGUGCCAUAACGAGCGCAACCCUUAUUGUUAGUUACCAUCAGGUAGUGCUGGGGACUCUAACAAGACUGCCAGCGUAAGCUGUGAGGAAGGUGGGGAUGACGUCAAAUCAGCACGGCCCUUACAUCCGGGGCGACACACGUGUUACAAUGGCGUGGACAAAAGAGCAGCCAAACGGGCGACCGUGAGCUAAUCUCCAAACCACGUCUCAGUUCGGAUCGGAGUCUGCAACUCGACUCCGUGAAGCUGGAUUCGCUAGUAAUCGCGCAUCAGCCAUGGCG
rnacentral:rRNA from 1 species